GUAUUUAUGGGAAUGUUUUACUUUGGUCGUAAAUACGACGCGUUUUAAGCUCAAACAUUAGAAAAACGCUACCGUCUUAAUUAUUUAUCCCUUUUCGUUUUUAGGGUUUUUACUUUCUACUUGCAACUUCAAGUCUGUACUUCGGAAAAACAACCAACUGAAAUAACCAUUUUUGAAUUUGGGGAGAGAAGGAGAUGGGAGAGGUGGAUACUCAUAAGGGUUUUGAAAUUGAUUUGGGAAAUCUUAUGGGUUACAACGCUAAUCACCAUUUUUGAAUUUGGGAAGAGAAGGAGAUGGGAGAGAUGGAUACUCAAAAGGGUUUUGAAAUUGAUUUGGGAAAUCUAUUGGGUUACAACCCUAAUCACCAUUUCCCCUCUAUUCCAUCUUCCAGCUGUUUAUGCUCCAAAGCUUUGUAAAAAAGUUAGUAAGGCAUAAAUAAACGCAAGAAAGACAAAGUUGCAUACGAUGAAAAGAGUGGUACUUGGAAGUGCACCUAUGGUUAUGAUCGUGCAAAUGAUGAAGAUGAUGUGCCCAUCAUCGAUGCUAAGCCAACUGAUGGUAAACGUAUGGGUUCACAAGAGCGAGAACAAACAGAAAAGGUUCUAAACAAGCUCAUGUCCAAGCAUUCUCUCGAGACACUUGAUGUCGACAAGGUAUAUUACGAGAAUGAUGAUGUGAUUAAUGCUAAUUUGGUUGAAUUGGCCACUGUUCUGAACAUUUUACAGUCACUCUUAUUUUUUGAUAAAUGAUCAGGCUGUUAGAAAUAUUUAUGUGCAGAAGGAGAAAAAGCAGCAAAACAGCAAGCUAGAAAGGGAUCCUCCAACUCGAACAACUUUAAACCGAAGAAAAAAUCAUUCAAGAAAUCUUCAAAUGAAGGAUCAUCAAAGAAGGGGUCAUUAGAAUCUAUAACAUAUAAAUCUUGAUUGAUUCUUUGGAAUUUGACAAUUUAGAGUUUCAUUGUAGGUUACUUAGAUACACUUUUGAAUCUUUUAUGUUAUACAUAUGUAGUAUAAAACAUCAAAAUUUAGCCAUGCUGGAUCAAAUUAGCAAUUGAGAGAUUAUCAAUGUUUAAGGGUUUGAUUACAGUCGAAAGUGAAUGUUAUUAAUGUGUAAGGGUUUGAUUACAAAUACAAAUGAUGGGAAGAUGUAACAGUGGUUUGUGUUACCUACUGUUAAUGUUCUUGAUAGCAAGAACCAUGGAAAGAACAACAAGAUGAGGGAGAGGGAAGGGGAUAU